AAUAUGUUCAAUUACUCACUUAUUGGAUCUUGAUUCAUACAUCUCACUAGCUACUACCUUUGUAUUAGCAAAAUCAAGCCCCACUGAAGUCUCGCUAGCACUAUAUAACCCGAGUCCUUUGGUGGUGGCUCUAAGAUUUUUUAUGCUUCCAGAUUCUUUUUUCAUAAUAUUGCUAGAAGCUCAUUCUAGUCUAAUUAUUUCACAUAUCCUCUAGUGUUUCAAUCGCUAAUUAAUAUUAUUGUUGUUUCAAAAUGUUAACACAAUAUAUGGAUUUAAGAACCAUAUGCUUGAAUUGUAUGCUUGGUGUUGCUGUUUCAAUCUCUUACUAACAUAAUAUUGUUGGUCUUGUUUGAGUGGACUCAUAGUUAUUGGUGCAUAUUAGCGUUUUAUCCUCUUCACUCUCGAUCGACUCCUUUAGAAAGCAUGUCCAGAUUAAGAACAGACCUUGGAACGAAGUGCGAGUCAGCAGCGACAGCAGGAAGCGGCGGCAAUGUUGGUGCAGCAGUAGCAACAGAAGAUCUAAAGAUAAGCCUAAUUCUUGCUUUCUCUCUCCUUGUUCUUAGAUCUAAAGGCAACCCUAAUUCUGUCGCCUCUUUUCUGUAGAUUUCUUAUUGCUUCACCCAAUUUAUUGCGUAAAAUUGUACAUUCAUAUACUAAUAUAUAAUUUAUUUUGUUGAUUGUUAGGAAAUUCAUUAUAGUGGAUCAACUAGGAUGCAUUAGAACUUUCGAUAUAAGGUGCGAUGAUGUUGCUGCUGUUGAUAUUAACAUGGGUUGUCCUAGGUCAUUUUCAAUCAGUGGGGGCAUGGAUGUUGCACUGCUGGCAAAGUCAGACAUCAUUCAUGAUGGUCUUAAGGAUAAGAAGAAGGCUAACUAGAAAAUUGAGGAAGAAAUUACUGCAACUAUAAUAACCAAGGAGACUAACGAAAUUGCAAAUUCAAAUUCUGAUGAUUCUAUUCCCCGUGCUUUAGAAGAGAUUAUUGAAACUAAAGACUCGAAUUCCAAUAUAAGUGUCUCAGUCUUCUAACGGUAACAAUAAGAGCCAACAGGGAUGCUGCAACUGUUCCUCAGAGCCUAUAUGCACGGAAGAGGAGGAUGAGGAUCAAUGAGAGAUUUAGAAUCUUAUGAAACCUGGUAUGUAAUGGAACCAAGGUAAUGCACCUAACAGUAUUGCGAAAAGUUGACCUGAAUUAAUCUCAGUUUUCACCCAUGUUCUAAAAAUAUUAUCGAUCCCAACUUUUGAUUAUUCUGAGUAAUUCCAUUUUUUUGGCGAUCUUCUAAAAAAGAUCCUAAGUGUUAUUUUUCUCAUAUUUGAUCCGUCUGAUCCUUUUGGGUAACACUUUGUAUUAUAUUGAGAAAGGUCCUUCAAAGAUUUGGUUUGAAAAUAGGCUUUCCUACGAAAGGGCAUAUUAGUUGUUAAUGUUUAUCUGGGUUUGCAAGUUUUAGUGGUGUAAAUCAGAGUUGCAAUCUAGUUAAAUAUGCAUGUAUGACGAUCUAGAUCCUCUAUGUUUAGUUGAAUAUAUUUGUAUCUCAUAUGAUGUGUUGUUUUGGUUUUGUUGAAGCUUUUGUUUUUUUGCAUUUUUAUUCUUUUAUUUUCCCGACCAUUAUAAUUUAUUAUAGUAAAUGUAUCAGUUCAUUCUUUA